rnacentral:rRNA from 1 species
CCUACGGGAGGCAGCAGUGAGGAAUAUUGGUCAAUGGCCGGGAGCCUGAACCAGCCAAGUAGCGUGCGGGAUGACGGCCCUACGGGUUGUAAACCGCUUUUAUACGGGAAUAACGCGCCUUACGUGUAGGGCUUUGCAUGUACCGGAUGAAUAAGGACCGGCUAAUUCCGUGCCAGCAGCCGCGGUAAUACGGAAGGUCCGGGCGUUAUCCGGAUUUAUUGGGUUUAAAGGGUGCGUCGGCCGGAUGGCAAGUUGGCGGUGAAAUUUCCGGGGUCAACCCGGGCCUUGCCGCGACAACUGGCGUGCUUGAGUGCGCGGAAAGUAGGCGGAAUUCGUGGUGUAGCGGUGAAAUGCGUAGAUAUUAGGAGGAACACCAGUGGCGAAGGCGGCUUACUGGACUGCAACUGACGUUGAGGCUCGAAAGCGUGGGGAGCAAACAGGAUUAGAUACCCUUGUAGUC